AGGGUUUGAUUAUGGCUCAGGACGAACGCUGGCGGCGUGCUUAACACAUGCAAGUCGUACGAGGGGAUUUGAAAGCUUGCUUUUGAAGAACCGAGUGGCAAACGGGUGAGUAACGCGUAGACAACCUGCCGUAAAGAUGGGGACAACAGUCCGAAAGGACUGCUAAUACCGAAUGUUGUAGAGUUUCCGCAUGGGAAUCCUACUAAAGAUGGCCUCUACUUGUAAGCUAUCGCUUUACGAUGGGUCUGCGUCUGAUUAGCUAGUUGGUGGGGUAACGGCUUACCAAGGCGACGAUCAGUAGCCGGUCUGAGAGGAUGAACGGCCACAUUGGAACUGAGACACGGUCCAG
rnacentral:rRNA from 1 species